rnacentral:rRNA from 1 species
ACCAGACUCCUACGGGAGGCAGCAGUGGGGGAUAUUGCACAAUGGGGGAAACCCUGAUGCAGCGACGCCGCGUGGGUGAAGGAGCACCUCGGUGCGUAAAGCCCUAUCGGCAGGGAAGAAAAGCGAACAGGUUCGCCUGGACGGUACCUGACUAAGAAGCCCCGGCUAACUACGUGCCAGCAGCCGCGGGAAUACGUAGGGGGCAAGCGUUAUCCGGAUUUACUGGGUGUAAGGGGAGCGUAGACGGCUGCGCAAGUCAGAAGUGAAAGCCCGGGGCUCAACCGCGGGACUGCUUUUGAAACUGUGUAGCUAGAGUGCAGGAGAGGUAAGUGGAAUUCCUAGUGUAGCGGUGAAAUGCGUAGAUAUUAGGAGGAACACCAGUGGCGAAGGCGGCUUACUGGACUGUAACUGACGUUGAGGCUCGAAAGCGUGGGGAGCAAACAGGAUUAGAUACCCUCGUAA